AAUAAAAUUUGACCUUCUAUGGACAUUGACUUCCCAGACCUUGGCUUACCCACUUGUACCUCCGAACUUAAGGACUUGUCGUAUAAUCAGAGAUUACCUUAUAAUCGGAGAUUGCCUUACAUAUUUCUAUUUUCUGUAGCCCAGUGUUUUAAAAUUGCAGGCUAUGAAUCAUUAGUUUGUUUCGAAAUCAGUUUAGUGGGUUGUGACCAGCGUUAAAAGAUGUUAGAGGGCCAGCCCUGCUGGCCUAGUGGUUGAGUUUGGCAUGCUCUGCUUUGGCGGCCCAGGUUCUCUUCCCAGGCGCAGACAUACACCACUUGUCAGUGACCAUGCUGUGGCGGCAGUGGUUCACAUACAGAAAGUGUAAGAUUGGCAACAGGUGUUAGCUCUGGGUGAAUCUUCCUCACCAAAAAAAAAAAAAAAGAAAGAAAAAAGGAAAUAUCAGAGUACAUCACAUGUAGUGAGGGUAAUUAUUGUUUCAUGAAACAAUAUGUGUGUGUAUGUGUGUAUUGGACCAUAAUGUAAAAUAAUACUUCUUGCUCUGGGUUGUGGUAAAAUGGAAAGCCUCUGCUGUAAGCAAUUUUGUUAUUCAUCAUACUCUAUGGCAACUAUUCCUUGCCAUUAGACAGAGCAAGAAUUGAAGCUCACAGCAACUUCAACUUCUUAUUGUGUGGCACUGUCCAAGGGGCAGCUCUCCUCAAUACUUAUCCAUAGGAGGUGUCAUUAUCUGGAAAGGAAAGCAACUUCAACAGCUGAAAUAGUAGAGGAACUCUAGUAAAAUGUUACUUCUAGUAAAAUAGAAGUGGUGUUAAUGGGAGUCCUGUCUUUUACCUCAUCUCAUGGAGGAAGUUUCCAACUUUUUGCUAUGUUUGGUAGAAUUCACUGAUGAAGUCAUCUGAGCCUGGGGCUAUCUUUGUGGAAAAGUUUUAAAUUACAGUUUCCUUUUUUUGAUCAUCAUUACUUUUGAGUUUUGUUUUGGAAUUCCACUCACUGACUGUCUGAAACAGGCCUCUUUGGAUUUUUAAAAAAUUCUUAUUCAAUUUUGAUAAAUUGUAUAUUUUCUAGAAAGUUGUCCUAAAUGUUAAUGCUUAUUGUCACAAUAGGCCAUGAGUUAUCAAUUUUCAAAGAACCAGGUAAUCUUUUCUACUGUAUGUUUUCUAUAUUGUUGUUUCCAUCUCUUAUCUUUAUUAUCUUCUUUCUGUUUGGGUUGAAUUUGCUGGAAUUUUUUUCUAACUUAUAAAUGUGGAUGCUUAGCACAUUGAUUUUCAACCUUUUGUCUUUUCUAAUAUGUGCUUUAAAGAAGUAAUGACGUGUGAGGAGGGUGAGGAUUCUGUCUGUGGGAUGGAAUAGCUAAAGAAAGAAUCACAGAGAAUAUGGACCUGAGUUUUCAAAAAGAGGAAGGGA
rnacentral:lncRNA from 1 species